AACCUGCCCAAUGAGAAUUUAAAUGGCUGCGGUAGCCUGACCGUACAAAGGUAGCAUAAUCAUUAGUUUUUUAAUUGAAAGCUGGAAUGAAAGGUUGGAUGAGAAAAUAACUGUCUCUAUAUAAAUUUUUUUAGAAUUUUAUUUUUAAGUUAAAAAGCUUAAAUUUUUAUAAAAGACGAGAAGACCCUAUAGAGUUUUAAUUUAAUUGGGGUGAUUGAAAAAUUUAAUAAACUUUUUUUAUAAUUGAACAUUUAUUUAUGAAUAUUUGAUCCUUUAUUAAGAUUAUAAGAUUAAAUUACCUUAGGGAUAACAGCGUAAUUUUUUUUGAGAGUUCAAAUCGAAAAAAGAGAUUGCGACCUCGAUGUUGGAUUAAAAUUAAAUUUUGGUGUAGAAGCUA
rnacentral:rRNA from 1 species